rnacentral:rRNA from 1 species
CGACGUCGCGAGAAGUCCACUGAACCUUAUCAUUUAGAGGAAGGAGAAGUCGUAACAAGGUUUCCGUAGGUGAACCUGCGGAAGGAUCAUUGUCGAAACCUGCAAAGCAGACCCGCGAACACGUGUUUAACAUCUACGGUUCCUCGUCACAGGUGCGCAAGCCCCUCUGUCGAGACUACCGCGCCCGCUCGAGCUUGCGUCUUGUGGGCUAACGAACCCCGGCGCGGCAUGCGCCAAGGAAAACUUAAAGAAGCGUUGCCCCCAUGGAGCCCGUUUGCGGUGCGCCCGUGGUGUGCGACGUCUCUCGAAUGUCUAAACGACUCUCGGCAACGGAUAUCUCGGCUCUCGCAUCGAUGAAGAACGUAGCGAAAUGCGAUACUUGGUGUGAAUUGCAGAAUCCCGUGAACCAUCGAGUCUUUGAACGCAAGUUGCGCCCGAAGCCAUUCGGCCGAGGGCACGCCUGCCUGGGCGUCACGCAUCGCGUCGCCCCCCACCCUAUCCCGGGAUUGGUUUGGGGGCGGAAAAUGGUCUCCCGUGUGCCUCGUGCACGUGGCUGGCCCAAAUACGAUCCGGCAUCGACGGAUGUCACGACCAGUGGUGGUUGAAACUAUCUUGCUGUCGUGCUCACCCCGUCGCUUGCUCGGCAUCAAUUGCAUCCAACGGCGCCAACGCGCCUCCGACCGCGACCCCAGGUCAGGCGGGACUA